AGGGAACUGGAGUCAGUGGCUGCUUUGGGAAGAAGAGUCAGUGCUCUGAGAGCUGCCCAUGAGAAACACCAAGCUUUUGUCCUUUGGAAAAAAAAAAGAGAGAAAAGGCAGACACAGGCAAGUUGUAAGAAGAGAAGAAGAGAGUUGGGCUCUAGGAAGUCCAGAGAACUGUUUGGGCAAGGCAGAGGGUGCAGCCACAAGUCAGGCUUGGGUUUGGCUGUUUCUCCAAACACAGAGCCAAGGCACCACUGAAUCCCUGAAGAGACAAUCCAUAUGGGUAACAGGAGAAUCCCUGUGCAAACCAGGAGGAACAAUGGGCUGCUGGUUUCUCUUCAAGCUCUCAUGGGUUAUCAUUGUGAAGACAAGCAGCAUGGAACAGUGUGUGUGUUUAAUGACCAAAAGUACCUUCAGUGUGUCCUUCCAGUGCCAGAUGCCUUACAGCCUCAAUGAGGAUCUUUAAUAGAAGCAUUAAUUAUUACUGAAACCCUGCUUUGUCCCGCUGAAACAAGUCUAAUAGCUCACACUUGCUCUGCCUCUCUCCUCCUUUCCCCAGAUUCCCACCUCCUGUAUUUGAUGCCAGCAUCAGGAAGGUUCCUUUCACCUGGCUGCUUGGGCCACCAGCAUGGGUGCUGUGCAGAAAAGGUCAGGCACAGCUCCAGGGCUGCUCCAUGAGCUGAGGAUUGGAAAGGAUGCCCUGAAACUGUUAGAAAGCAUCACUUGGUGCUGCCAUACCCAUGCCCUUGCCUUCUUUUGUGGGAAGCCCAGUGCCAAGAAAAUAUCAGCUCCCAGCUCAUAGAGAUGCAGGUAACUAAUUGAAAUAAUUGAUUAAUUAAAUGCAGAUAUCUCUUCUCUGUGAGGGUGCUGAGGCCCUGGCACAGGGUGCCCAUGGAAGCUGUGGCUGUCCCUGGAUCCCUGGAAGUGCCCAAGGCCAGAUUGGUCAGGUCUUGGAGCAGCCUGGGAUGGUGGAAGGUGUCCCUGCCCAUGGCAGGGGGUGGGACUGUAUGGUUUCUGAGGUCCCUUCCAACCCACACCAUUCUUCAUUCUGUGAAAUAGUGGCUCCAGGGCAGCCAGCACAGUCAGAGGACGUGAACUCCUGAGAAAGGAGAGGCUUUGUCUGUCUGGAGCAGCCAUGGAUAAGACCCAGCUGUCUGUCUGUCCAAAAGAUGAGGCCAUCUCUGCCCAUGGGUGCAGCCAUCACCUGCCCCCAGGGAUGAGAGCAGGCAGUGCUGCCAGGUGUGGGGGCAUGGAAUGAAAGAGAACAGUGUAGAAGGUAAUCCACCCCUGAGGAGGUGCAGCUGUACUGAUCACCAGAGAUCAGGAACAGGCCACAGCUGUGUCCAAUAAUGAUGAUGAGUGCCAUAGAAGGGUGGGUGAGGAGGGAGAUGGAGUUGGAGUUUGUUGGCUGUGCUGUGAAGAGGAAGGAGUCAGUGCUGUGAGGAGCUGCCCAUGAGAAAUCACCCAGAAGGAUGGACAAGACCAUGAGGACACAGCCCAGCCUUCCCUUCUCCAGUCUGGAAAGGCUGCAAGGAGCUGCAGGGACCAGAGCCAGUCCAUCCCCUGGGGCCAUUGGCAGCCAUGCACCAACACCAGCAAAAUGGAGGAAAACAUGACCCAGGGCUCUGCUGACAUGUGUCCUCCUGUGGGAUGUUCUGCCUCUCUCCAGACAGACUUCAGUACUUUUAAUUUGGGCCAGCACUGCCACUGCUCUGGGCCUUUUCUUUCCCAGCACUCCCAAAAUAGCCCCUUCUGCAUUGCCUGAGUGAAAUGGUUUCUUUUGCUCACCCAGUGAGCUGGACAGAGCUUUAUUGCAUCCCUCUGCCACUGCUAUCCCCCAUCCCUACAGAAACAUGAAUUUCUAACAAACAGAAGGCAAAAGUUCCACACUGCAUGUGUGAUAAUUCAACUUCAAUUCCCACUGCCUGAAAUCCAGUUUUCCAGCACAAUCACUACCAGCCAGCCUCUCCCCCUCUGCUUGUUUUUUCUCCCCCAUUUAACUUCUCCCACCUUCCCGUGGAAAACUGGGUCCUGUUUGUCCAAACUGGGAUGCAGUGAGCAUUGCACCUGCAGUGAAGGUGUGAGGAAGAGGCACUCAGAGAGGGAGCACUGCUGGAAUUCAGGUGCACAUGUGCCAUGGCACAGAAAAUGCUGCUUGGCAGGAGCAUAAGUCACCAGGGAGCUUUCCAGAAACGUGGGGAUUUAUGGAGCUGGCAGCUACUGGUGGAGAUAACCUCCAGCACCUGGGGAUCUGCACGGCUGGGCCAUGUGCCCUGGAGGGGCUGCAGCCCUUAAAGCCACAGCAAGAAAUCAAGCCCUGUUUGGGAUUUUUCCCUGUGCAUUAGAGCUCAACAGACUCUUCUAAAUUCUCUAAUAUUAAUUUUCCCUCCCAACAUUUCAAAGCUCAGGGCCCCAACCCAGCAUUGCUGAGGACUGGCCCUUUCCCACCGUGGCUGCCUGGAGGAGCUGGAUGAGAGCAGGGUCUGCCAAACCCCAAGGAAUGACACAGAACAGCACCAUGGGUUUUUUAAUUAUCAUUCAAAGGAGGACACUGCUCAGAAAUAUUUGAUGACAUGUCAAGCACAUCAGGUUACUUAGGAUGAUAGCAGCAGGAACAAGAAGCUGCCCGGGGCAAGGGCUCUUGUCCUGCUCUCAGCAAAAGCAUCUUAAACCACGACUGUGAUGAUAACAGGACACUAAUCACCCUUUUCCUUGCUCAGGGAGACUGAUGGGAGAGGUUUGCUGCUCCCACAGACAGUGUAAUAGUGAGAUUUGCUUUGCUUAACAUAGUUAAUACUCAUAAAAGCCAGCAGCACUCCAGGCUGUUUGCUAGAACAGCUGUGAAGAUUUUUAUGGAGAUGUAUUAGGGAGAUUCAGAUGCUGGUUUGAUGGGAGAGAUGUAAAAAAAAUCAUAUUUGGUUUGUGGUAUGGGGAGAAUGAUGGAAAAUUCUGCAGCCAUCUGCUGAAGACCAGUACUUGGGUGCUGAGCCUGCUCCACUGCAGCCCUGUUCCAGAGGGAAUUCAGGGACCAGGCUCUCUCCAGCACCACGAGCUGAUGCCUUGGAGCCACUCUGUGAGAUCAGCAGGGUCCCCCCAGCUCCCUGGGACUCCUCAGAUGGGUUUCACUGAACUCAGCAGCUCUGCCCGUGGCUCUCAGCAGCUCUGAUUUAGCUCUGUGUGUGCAGAGAAGCAAUAAAAGGAAAUCAAAUGUUAAUCAAACAGCAAGCACGGAUCACUUCAGGCCAACUGUGAUAUUCAGAUGUGCCCUGAAUAGCAUCUUGCCCCAGACACAGCUCACAGUCUCCACCAGAACAUCUCAUUGUGCAGCCUCUGAUUCCAGCAAGAGCAGAGGCUUCCCCUCAGUAAAACAUGUCUCCUGCCACUUUGAGAGCCUCCCCAUGCCUUUAGGAAAUAUUAAAGCUGACUCCAGGAGAAUUUAGCUCAUUCAGUCAAUGGAUUCCAUCAAGGAGGGAGAGAGGUGCUGAUGGCUACGCUUAUCUGCCCAGUUAAGGCAGUGCUAAACAGCAGCUCAAUUGAGCAGCCAUCCCUCAGGCUCCCAGGUGGUGUGCCCCACUAUUGAAGCUGCAAGGGAUAAGUGCAAAGCUGUGCUGUUUCCUGACAGUGUUCAGGAAUGGAGACAUCCUGGAACAUACCCCUGGAUGCUCACUCAGCUGAAUGAGGCUCAGUGGGUUUGCUUUUGGAGCUCCACCAUGAACAGAACUGGGCAUGGGGCUUUGCUGCUGGCAGUGUGUUCUGCCUGGGGAGGUGUUUCUGCUGAGCAUGGCCAAGUCUCUUCCCAGUGGGAAGGCAGAUUUUCCUCUGCAUGUUUCCAUAAAAACAGGCAUCUCCCAGGCUUCACCAUGACCAUCCCACACCACAAACCAUCCAGAUUCCAGCACUGGUGUCUGGGACUGAAUCAGGGACCAAAUGAGGAUGACACUUGGAAUCCACACAAGGAUGCUCGUGGAUCUCUAACAGAAAAAGAGGAAAAACACAACAGAAUCCCCAAGCUCUGUCACAGAGGCAAGAAAUUGCCUGUGCCUGCAUCCUGGGAUUUUUUCCAUGUCCGGGCUGAACUCUGCACUCAGAAGGGAAGGAAAACCAUCGUCUUGUUUUUAAUGAUGGCUGCCAUUUCUGGAGGAUAACACCUCUCCUCUCUGCUGAUCCUGCAGGAUCUUUUCAAAUGUUCAUGUAGCUCUGGCAAUGCUAUUUAUGUGAUCACUUCAGAUUGCAAGAAAA